UGGACAAAUUAUUGUAUUCGACUGUAUUCACGGCGUGAAACAGGGGAUUACAUUAUUUUUAAACGGAAAGUGAAUCAAUUAACAUAAUAGACUCCU
rnacentral:pre_miRNA from 1 species